rnacentral:rRNA from 1 species
GCCGCGGUAAUNCGGAGGGUGCANGCNUUANNNGGAAUUACUGGGCGUAAAGCGCACGCNGGCGGUUGNUGANUNAGAUGUGAANUCCCCGGGCUUAACCCGGGAAUUGCAUNUGAUACUGGUCAGNNGANUCNGUAGAGGGGGGUAGANUUCCAUGUGNAGCGNUGAANGCGUAGAGAUGUGGAGGAAUACCGGUGGCGAAGGCGGCCCCCUGGACAAAGACUGACGCUCAGGUGCGAAAGCGUGGGGAGCAAACAGGAUUAGAUACCNUGGUNGUCCACGCUGUNAACGAUGUCGACUNGGAGGUUGUGCCNNUGAGGCGUGGCUUCCGGAGCUAACGCGUUAAGUCGACCGCCUGGGGAGUACGGCCGCAAGGUUAAAACUCAAAUGAAUUGACGGGGGCCCGCACAAGCGGUGGAGCAUGUGGUUUAAUUCGAUGCAACGCGAAGAACCUUACCUACUCUUGACAUCCAGAGAACUUAGCAGAGAUGCUUUGGUGCCUUCGGGAACUCUGAGACAGGUGCUGCAUGGCUGUCGUCAGCUCGUGUUGUGAAAUGUUGGGUUAAGUCCCGCAACGAGCGCAACCCUUAUCCUUUGUUGCCAGCGCGUGAUGGCGGGAACUCAAAGGAGACUGCCGGUGAUAAACCGGAGGAAGGUGGGGAUGACGUCAAGUCAUCAUGGCCCUUACGAGUAGGGCUACACACGUGCUACAAUGGCGUAUACAAAGGGAAGCGACCCCGCGAGGGCAAGCGGAACUCAUAAAGUACGUCGUAGUCCGGAUUGGAGUCUGCAACUCGACUCCAUGAAGUCGGAAUCGCUAGUAAUCGUAGAUCAGAAUGCUACGGUGAAUACGUUCCCGGGCCUUGUACACACCGCCCGUCACACCAUGGGAGUGGGUUGCAAAAGAAGUAGGUAGCUUAACNUCCGGGAGGGCG